UACAGAGGGUGCGAGCGUUAAUCGGAAUUACUGGGCGUAAAGCGUGCGUAGACGGUAGCGUAAGUCAGAUGUGAAAGCCCCGGGCUCAACCUGGGAAUGGCAUUUGGGACUGCAAGGCUGGAGUGCGGCAGAGGAGACUGGAAUUCCUGGUGUAGCAGUGAAAUGCGUAGAUAUCAGGAGGAAUACCGAUGGCGAAGGCAGGUCUCUGGGCUGACACUGACGCUCAUGCACGAAAGCGUGGGGAGCAAACAGG
rnacentral:rRNA from 1 species